rnacentral:lncRNA from 1 species
UUAGAUAAGUCUCCAUAAUAGCUUAAGUGUUUAACUUGGUAACAAGUACACAAACGUCAUAAUAGCUUAAAUGUUUAACUUGGUAACAAGUACACAAACGUCAUAAUAGCUGAAGUGUUUAACUUGGUAACAAGUUCACAAACAACAUAAUCGCAAUCUCCACUCAGUUCAAAUUACUGACAUAAAUGAAAACAUGUAAUAAUAAGCAGGGACAUCUUCACUCUUCAGCCUUUACACAACAUUUCUUCAUCCUCCUACAAAAUGGCAGCAAUGAAAGAAUUAGUAAAUAACACAAAAUUUUAAUAUUUAAAUGAGUUUACAGCAAUGCAACAUAUUCAAUGCUUUCACUUAUGGGCAGUGCCUUCACAAGACGAUCAGAGAUGGAGAACUAAGGAAGACUGAUAUUUCUAAGGCUCGCUGAUGGCGAAAAUUAUACAGUCACAAUAUACGCCCGCGCUGCAAUUCAAAGACAAUCCUCGCUGCCACCGUCACCGGCGCCAGCACAGGCUUGCCCCGACGACCGUCUCAGGUGGCAGCGAGGGAGGAGGGGGAAGAGGAAGGUGGUAGCUGGGGACCCUUGUCGCCCCCCCCCCUCCCCCCACCCCGAGUCGCCUUGCGGGGCAACGUCAGGGCAUGAGGUGGGAGGGUUGAUUAGUUUUUAAGAAAAGUCGCGCACAAUUAUGCUCGAAGACUUGACUGGUUGACCGUUGACUGAAUAUUUGACCAGUAUGCCGUUGCUGUCAGGAAUCCACGUUCAUAUCAAGUGAAAAAUAAGUGCCCAAUCCCCCUACUCUAUCCGCGUCGACUGGUAGCUGAAACUCCAAAAAGCCGCCACCACUCCGGUUCCUGCGUUCGUACUCCACUCCUGCCAGUCCAAGAUCCAGCUCAAGAUCCAGGCAGGGUCAGCCAGCCAUGUGCUGCGGCGAGUGCGGCUGCUAUGACGCACUCUGCGACCGCUGCUGCCUCUGCGUCUCCACCGGCGCGCGCGACACCAUCCUCUGCUGCGCGUGCUGCCUCGCCGUCCUCGCCGGCGUCGGCCUCCUCCUCGUCCUCCUCGCGGCCUUCUGCUUCAUCCGCCACGCCGAGGUCGCCGUCACCGACGCCUCCCUCACGCGCCUCGCGCUGGCCGCGUCCCCCGCCACCGCCUUCGCCUACAACCUCUCGCUCACGCUCACCGUCCGGAACAAGAACUGGGCAAUGAGCGUCAAGAACACCCAGCCGCUCGAGGCCGACUACAGCUUCGACGGCCAGCGCUUCGAGCGGGUCAGGCUCGCCGACGAGGGCUCCACGCACCCCGCCGGCAAGACCCAGGUGUACCACCUCGUCUCCGGCUCCGACGGCGCCUACGUCGCGCUCGGCAACGCCGGCGUGGCCGAGUUCAAGGAGGAGAACAAGACGGGGGUGUUCCAGGUGGAGGUGGCGCUGUCGGGCCAGGUCAGGUACCAGGCGCACUUCACCAAGUGCAAGUUCCAGGCCAAUUGCCCGCUCAAGCUGCAGCUCGCGCCGCCCGGCACGCCGGCCGUCGUCUUCCAGAAGGUCAAGUGCAAGCUCGCUCCGGGGAGCAGGUACUGCUAGUGAUUGGUACGAUUGGUGGCUAGUGAUUUCUGUCGGUAGAUUGGGAGGACCAAGUAUAGUUGCCGGGAACGGGGAACGAUGCCGCGUCCCCUGUACCGGGAACAUCGACCCGGAUCGAGGGUCGGGGUCGACACAGGGAACGACGCGAUUCGGUGACGGGAACGCGACCCGGAAAGGCAGGUUCGCAGCUCCGUUUCAGUGAUCGCAAAUACACUGGAUCUCGACCCAACUUGCCAAUGAACGGGAGGCCAAAUGGAUAGAAUCGAGACUUACCUGAAGUCCAUGGCAUGAGCCUUCCGCUGUCGACCAAAACGAUGCGCGCCGGAGGCUAGUGUGCAUGUGCGAACGCGGUGCCCAGCGGCGCCGGCGGCUGGUGUCGACGUGCAGACUGCGGAUGCGAUGCCCAGCGGCGCCGGCGGCUGGUGUCGACGUGCAGACUGCGGAUGCGGUG